UUAUGUAUUCCUACAACAUAUCGUUAAUGCACCAGGUCCCCUUAGAACUAUGCAGUUAAGCGUGCCCGGGCUAGAGUAGUACUAGGAUGGUUUAUCGCCCUGGAAGUGCUUGUAUUUUACAUGUC
rnacentral:rRNA from 1 species